rnacentral:lncRNA from 1 species
AAGAAGAAGAGAAGCACGAGGAAGUGGAUAAGAGGUGUACCUGUGACCGUCGUCAUCACUGUCGCCAUCUCCGACACCGUCUCCGGCAGGUAUUCAGUUUGAACUCUCUGGUUAUGCUUUGGUCUGGUUACUAGGGGUGUGCAUGGUUCAAAACCAUAACCAAAUUGAACCAAAUAUAUGGAUCAGUUUGGUUUUUAAAACCACUUACUAUUUUGGCCAAAUAUAAAAAUUUUAGCCAAAUACAAACCAUCGGUUUGGUUAAUAACCGGUUUGUACUAAAAAAAAUUAAUUUUUGUUUGGAUCAAUUUUAAAACCAAAUUUCCCUUAAAUUUAAUUUUCAUUCCAACAACUUAUUAACUCUAUCCAAUCGCUCUUGAAAUCAAUCACUAUUUUUAAAUUUCAAUUUGAAAAAUCAAAAUUAAGUAAUUACCUAUAAGAUAGAAAAAAAAUCAAUUUUAAAAAAAGAGUUUUAAAUCGAUAUUUUUCAAACCAGUUUUUUAUUUUCUUUAGAAAAACAGUUUUAUAAAAAAAAUAAUUUUGUAAAAAAAAACAAUUUAAAAAAAUUAUAAAAAUAAAUCAGGUUUAAAAAAUUAUACGAUGCAGUUUUAUUAACCGUAGUUUUUUUUGCAGCUUCUCAAUUUUAUUUAAGAGGAUAAUGAUCAACAAUGCCACAUUUAAUUUUACAAUAAUAAAAAAGUAAAGUAAUUGCCACGUCAUAAAAAUAACUGACUAGUUGAAAAAAAAAAAAAAACGAAUAAAAAAGGAGAAAUUAAAAUAAUAAAAUUUCGAUGACUUUUUCAAACUCACAAAUAAAUAGGGACGAAAUUGCCAACUUGUUUUCAGUUUGUUUUCUUUGCAAAUAUCCAAAUAUACAGGAAAAAAACAUUGAAAAACAAAUUGUAUACUAAUACUAUAUUUUCUAUACAAAUCUUUAAAAACAGAAAUCAAUAGAAACAAUUCACAACCAAUUAAAGCUAAGAAAAUGGAAAAAAAAUAACUCCAUAAUACAACACACAAUUACAAAAUUACGAAUUUACUACUCACAGAAUUUGAUUGAACAUUGUUAAAGAACACCAACAUGAAAGCAAACAUCACAACUUUCAAUACCAUUUACAAUACGAUGCAGGUUUUGAUGAGUUUGGAAUUUGAAGAAUGAUGAAGAGAAAAAAAAAUGAAAAAAAAUUGGAUUUUUGAGAAUUAGGGAUUCUGAAAUUUGUGUUUUGGGUUAAUUUGAAAUGAUUAUUGAAAAAUGGUAACCGUUUACUUGAACCGGUUUGUAAUAAUGGUUACCGGUUUUUUUUCAAUUUGAUAAAUGGAUCACCAAUUUCAAAAUAUAAUUUUGGAUUGGAUUUUAAAAUUUGGAUCAAUUUGGAUAAGAAUUUGGUUCAUGGUUAUUGGUUAUUUUGCACACCCCUACUGGUUACCAUAAGGUAGUAUUAGAUUAGAGGAACUGAAACCCUAACCUGCCUGCUAUUUAUAUUCGUCGUGGUUCAUUUAAUUUCUGAAAGUUAUUCUAGGUUUUUGUUAUCUCAGAGCUUGAUUUUGGUUAGAUUGUUUAGGAUAAUGUCGGUUGGACGCUGGAUUUAGGAUGUUAAGGUGGUGGCGGUCAGUUUGGCAGUUGGUUUUGGUGUGGGGAGCUCCGCCGCCGCCGACGAUGAGCUCCGGCACGGAGGAUGCUUGGUCGCUAGUAAGAGUAGUUUGGAGGGAAGGUUUAAAAGUGAACGGGUGAUCUGG